rnacentral:rRNA from 1 species
CGGAACGAGCCUUCGGGCAGCGUAGACAGGUGCUGCAUGGCUGUCGUCAGCUCGUGUCGUGAGAUGUUGGGUUAAGUCCCGCAACGAGCGCAACCCGUGUUGCUAGUUACAAGUGUCUAGCGAGACUGCCGGUAACAAGCCGGAGGAAGGUGCGGAUGAUGUCAAGUCAGCAUGGCCUAUAUGUCCAGGGCUACACACACGCUACAAUGGCUGGUACAAAGAGAAGCGAAAGGGAGACCUGAAGCGAAUCUCAUCAAAGCCAGUCAUAGUUCGGAUUGCAGGCUGCAACUCGCCUGCAUGAAGUCGGAGUUGCUAGUAACCGCAGGUCAGCAAUACUGCGGUGAAUACGUUCCCGGGCCUUGUACACAC